rnacentral:rRNA from 1 species
GUAGGUGGCAAGCGUUGUCCGGAAUUAUUGGGCGUAAAGCGCGCGCAGGCGGUUCUUUAAGUCUGAUGUGAAAUCCCACGGCUCAACCGUGGAGGGUCAUUGGAAACUGGAGAACUUGAGUACAGAAGAGGAAAGCGGAAUUCCACGUGUAGCGGUGAAAUGCGUAGAGAUGUGGAGGAACACCAGUGGCGAAGGCGGCUUUCUGGUCUGUAACUGACGCUGAGGCGCGAAAGCGUGGGGAGCAAACAGGAUUAGAUACCCUGGUAGUCCACGCCGUAAACGAUGAGUGCUAAGUGUUAGGGGGGUUUUCCGCCCCCCUUAGUGCUGCAGCUAACGCAUUAAGCACUCCGCCUGGGAGUACGGCCGCAAGGCUG